CGACCAGGCGUGGUACUCCAUGUUUUGUAGAUACUCCUAGUCUGAAGGUGUGCCUUUGUUGUUCACUGCCUCACUUGUAGGUUGCUGUGGAUACGAGUCUGCUAAAAUACAUUUAUAAAGGUUGAUUGUCCAAUUACAGACCAAUUAAAAAUUGUGAAGAUGUAUGAUGGAUAAAUCAACGUAACAGGUGCCCUGGUCUAGUGCAUAGGCAGAUCUACAUAUCCACAAUCUACAGUACAAGUGCAGUGUACAUCAGUAUAUACAGUAUGCAUGGGGACUGCAGAACCACUACUGAGUGAACCAACAGAUAAGAGCUUUGCUCAAGGGCAACCAGGGAUGUGAAACAGGUCUUCUGUGAAUCCAUGUGUGUGAGCACUGCAUGCCUGUGUGUGUGUGUGUGUGUGUGUGUGUGUGUGUGUGUGUGUGUGUGUGUGUGUGUGUGUGUGUGUGUGUGUGUGUGUGUGUGUGUGUGUGUGUGUGUGUGUGU